rnacentral:snRNA from 1 species
GCACUUCUUCAGCAGCACAUGUGCUAAAAUUGGAGCUAUACAGAGAGGAUGAGCAUAGCUCCUGUGCAAGGAUGACAUGCAAACUCAUAAAGUGGUGUGUAUUUUU